rnacentral:rRNA from 1 species
AGCGGCGGACGGGUGAGUAACACGUGGGUAACCUGCCUCAAAGUGGGGGAUAGCCUUCCGAAAGGAAGAUUAAUACCGCAUAAUAUGAGAGAAUCGCAUGAUUUUCUUAUCAAAGAUUUAUUGCUUUGAGAUGGACCCGCGGCGCAUUAGCUAGUUGGUAAGGUAACGGCUUACCAAGGCAACGAUGCGUAGCCGACCUGAGAGGGUGAUCGGCCACAUUGGAACUGAGACACGGUCCAGACUCCUACGGGAGGCAGCAGUGGGGAAUAUUGCGCAAUGGGGGAAACCCUGACGCAGCAACGCCGCGUGGGUGAUGAAGGUCUUCGGAUUGUAAAGCCCUGUUUUCUAGGACGAUAAUGACGGUACUAGAGGAGGAAGCCACGGCUAACUACGUGCCAGCAGCCGCGGUAAUACGUAGGUGGCGAGCGUUGUCCGGAUUUACUGGGCGUAAAGGGUGCGUAGGCGGAUGUUUAAGUGGGAUGUGAAAUCCCCGGGCUUAACCUGGGGGCUGCAUUCCAAACUGGAUAUCUAGAGUGCAGGAGAGGAAAGCGGAAUUCCUAGUGUAGCGGUGAAAUGCGUAGAGAUUAGGAAGAACACCAGUGGCGAAGGCGGCUUUCUGGACUGUAACUGACGCUGAGGCACGAAAGCGUGGGUAGCAAACAGGAUUAGAUACCCUGGUAGUCCACGCCGUAAACGAUGGAUACUAGGUGUAGGGGGUAUCAACUCCCCCUGUGCCGCAGUUAACACAAUAAGUAUCCCGCCUGGGGAGUACGGUCGCAAGAUUAAAACUCAAAGGAAUUGACGGGGGCCCGCACAAGCAGCGGAGCAUGUGGUUUAAUUCGAAGCAACGCGAAGAACCUUACCUGGACUUGACAUCCCUUGCAUAGCCUAGAGAUAGGUGAAGCCCUUCGGGGCAAGGAGACAGGUGGUGCAUGGUUGUCGUCAGCUCGUGUCGUGAGAUGUUAGGUUAAGUCCUGCAACGAGCGCAACCCUUGUUAUUAGUUGCUACCAUUAAGUUGAGCACUCUAAUGAGACUGCCUGGGUAACCAGGAGGAAGGUGGGGAUGACGUCAAAUCAUCAUGCCCCUUAUGUCCAGGGCUACACACGUGCUACAAUGGUAGGUACAAUAAGACGCAAGACCGUGAGGUGGAGCAAAACUUAUAAAACCUAUCUCAGUUCGGAUUGUAGGCUGCAACUCGCCUACAUGAAGCUGGAGUUGCUAGUAAUCGCGAAUCAGAAUGUCGCGGUGAAUACGUUCCCGGGCCUUGUACACACCGCCCGUCACACCAUGAGAGCUGGUAACACCCGAAGUCCG